AGUGAACGCUGGCGGUAGGCCUAACACAUGCAAGUCGAACGACCGCCCAUUAAGAGCUUGCUCUUACGGGUUGCGUGUCGCGGACGGGUGAGACAUACAUCGGACCCUACUUUUUCGUGGGGGCUACCGUUGGGAAACUCACGCUAUUACCGCAUACGUCUUAUCGCUGCAUGCAGGGGAUCUUCGAGGCUUGCUCUACUGAUAGACCCGCUGUCGGAUUAGCUAGUUGGCGGGGUAAAGGCCCACCAAGGCGACGAUCCGUGGCGGGUCUGAGAGGAGGAUCGGCCAAACGGGAAUGGAGAAACGGUCCAGACUCCUACGGGAGGCAGCAGUGGGGAAUAUUCGACAAGGAGGGAAAGCCUGAUCCGGCAAGACCGCGGGGGUGAAGAAGGCCUUCGGGUGGUAAAGCCUGUUUGUUGGGAAAGAAAAGCAGCAGGUGAAUACCCCGAUGUUCUGACGGUACCCAAAGAAUAAGCACCGGCUAACUUCGUG
rnacentral:rRNA from 1 species